UUGCUCUUCAACGAGGAAUGCCUGGUAAGCGCAAGUCAUCAGCUUGCGUUGAUUACGUCCCUGCCUUUUGUACACACCGCCCGUCGCUACUACCGAUUGAAUGGCUAAGUGAGGCUUUCGGACUACCUCAGGGAGGGUGGCAACACCCACCCAGAGGCGGAGAGUUAUCCAAACUUGGUCAUUUAGAGGAAGUAAAAGUCGUAACAAGGUUUCCGUAGGUGAACCUGCGGAAGGAUCAUUACAGAGUUCAUGCCCGAAAGGGUAGACCUCCCACCCUUGUGUAUUAUUACCUUGUUGCUUUGGCGAGCUGCCUUCGGGCCUUGUAUGCUCGCCAGAGGAUAAUUAAACUCUUUUUAUCAAUGUCGUCUGAGUACUAUAUAAUAGUUAAAACUUUCAACAACGGAUCUCUUGGUUCUGGCAUCGAUGAAGAACGCAGCGAAAUGCGAUAAGUAAUGUGAAUUGCAGAAUUCAGUGAAUCAUCGAAUCUUUGAACGUACAUUGCGCCCCUUGGUAUUCCGGGGGGCAUGCCUGUUCGAGCGUCAUUUCAACCCUCAAGCACAGCUUGGUAUUGAGUCUAUGUCAGUAAUGGCAGGCUCUAAAAUCAGUGGCGGCGCCGCUGGGUCCUGAACGUAGUAAUAUCUCUCGUUACAGGUUCUCAGUGUGCUUCUGCCAAAACCCAAAUUUUCUAUGGUUGACCUCGGAUCAGGUAGGGAUACCCGCUGAACUUAAGCAUAUCAAUAAGCGGAGGA
rnacentral:rRNA from 1 species